GCCAGGUAUGGUGGUGUGUGCCUGUGAUUCUAAGUUACUUGGGAGGCUGAGGCAGGAGGAUUGCUUGAGCCCAGGAAGUUGAGGCUGCGGUGGGCUGCGUUUGCAACACCGCACUCCAGCCUGGGCGACAGAGUGAGACCCUGUCUCUU
rnacentral:SRP_RNA from 1 species